GUUUAGUAGAUGGCAUUACCAUUCUUGUAACGUUGAGAGCAUAGAGGAAGGUCUAAAUAAUAACUCUAUGGUUGAGAGUACGGGAACCCGUUCUGUGGUAAAGUUGUUGAGAGUGUAGCGGCAUGGCGUAGCGAUGAGGCCGAUUGUGUGUGCCUGCUUGCUUGCGCUGUCAUCCAACGUUACUAGAUCUAGUAACGUUGCUGUCAUCCGUGUUUCUCGUUGAUAUGAGCCAAAAACUGGACUUCAUGUGACAGUAUCUUACUGCGAUGUAACAGAGACCCGCGAAACAGAAAAAUGUCAGCUGCUAUGGCCGUAUGAAGUGGCGAAUGUGAGUGAACGUUACGCGAAAGCCGAGUGUCGUGCCAUCACGGCUGCACCCAAGCGGUUAUAGGUUUUAGUGCAUGGACCCUAUGGAAAGCUUGUUGUACUUACUCUAUGUCUUGAGUUAUACAAGCCGAAGUCCUACUUCAAUCCAAGUCAAACUCAACGUCAAGUCGAUCGACAGUCAAAGCCAAGGAGCCAUAGCAGACGGAGCAUUCGUGGCAAUCUGGCAGCUCGACAUUCUGUUGGCAAGAAGAAAAUGCCGUUGGAAUUGAUUCCUGGCUUCAUAUUUUUUGUUUAGCACUAGCAGAUGUUACUGAUCUCGGAAGCAAAUGUUUGGGUAAAUACUUUUCAUUGAAGAAACACAUUAUUGUAAUUAGAAAAAAGGUUGGCCCAUGUACUCGGAAAGCAGCAUCAGAUCGUGGCAUCUUCAGCACCUCAUUUUUUUCACAGAAUGUAAAACUAAGGGUGAGAUUGAUAUUACUUUUGCUUUAUUAAAACAAUAGAGAUUUCGUUUUUGCUGAAGAUUAAGUGAGCCUGUUUUGUUUUCUUUAUCGUUUUAAUUUAUGACGAGUUACUCAGCAUUUACGAGUAGAUAUGAGUAUGCAGAAAUUUUCUGCUUCAUUGAAGUGAAGCAGCUGCAUCAUGCACAGCUUGAGUACUUAUCAUUUGUGAUUCUAUAAAAGCCGGUGGUUAAAGAAAAAGCUGAGUUUUCCUCAAAGGGAUCAGAGUGUUCUUUAGGUUGUGUUCUUAGGAGCCUGGCUCCAAGUGAAAAAGUUGUGCCUUUUGCUACCAGCUUGCGACUUUGCAAGUACUGUAUGCCUCUUGACAUGUGUGUGUGCAAGUGCUGGAAACGUGAAAUAUGUAGUUUUCUUAUUCAAUAAAUGACUGACAUUGA